UACGAAGGGUGCAAGCGUUACUCGGAAUUACUGGGCGUAAAGCGUGCGUAGGCGGUUUGUUAAGUCCGUUGUGAAAGCCCUGGGCUCAACCUGGGAAGUGCACUCGAUACUGCGUGGCUUGAGUAUCGGAGAGGUUGGUGGAAUUCUCGGUGUAGAGGUGAAAUUCGUAGAUAUCGAGAGGAACACCGGUGGCGAAGGCGGCCAACUGGACGAAUACUGACGCUGAGACACGAAAGCGUGGGGAGCAAACAGG
rnacentral:rRNA from 1 species